UUAUUUAUUUUAUUAUUAUUAUUAUUUUAUUAAAUUAUUAUUUUAUUUAUUAUUUUAAUUGAAAAAUUUGUUUUUAUUAUAGUUUAUUAGUAAAGUGAUUGAAUUUUUUUUUAUAUUUUUUAAAGAAGAAUUUAUUUUUUGUACCUUGUGUAUCAGGGUUUAUAAAUUAAAUAUUUUAUAUAAAAUUUUCUCGAAUUAAAAGGAUCUAAUUAAUUAUGUGUUUAAUUUUUUCAUAAAUUUUCAUAAUUUUUAAUUUGAAAUGAAAUGUUAUUCGUUUUUUAAUAUAUCUAGUUUUUUAAGAAAAGAAUUUAAUUCUCUUAUUAUUUAUUUAUUUUCUUAUUUUUAGUUAAUAAUUUUUAGUAUGAAAUAUUUAAAGGGAUGAGCUUUUAAUUAUAUUAUUAAAAAUUUUAUUUUUAUUUAUUUUUUGUAUAAUUUAUAUUGUUAAUCAUAUAAAUAAUUUAAUAGUUAAUUUUAUUUAAUUUAAGAUUUAUAUUUAUUUUAAUUUUUAUAUUAAAAAAUUUUGUUUAAUAUUUAUUCUUAUGUUAUAAUGAUUAAAUUAGUAGAUAAUUUUGUAAAUAUUUAUUUUUUUUAAGAUAAUAAAAAGGAAUUCGGCAAAUUUAUUUUUCGCCUGUUUAUUAAAAACAUGUCUUUUUGAUUAUAAUUUAAGGUUUAAUCUGCUCAAUGAUUAUUUAAAUUGCCGCAGUAUUUUGACUGUGCAAAGGUAGCAUAAUAAUUAGCUUUUUAAUUGAAAGCUGGAAUGAAUGAUUGGACGAGAAAAUUUCUGUCUCUUUAUUAAUUUUAUUUAAUUUUACUUUUAAGUUAAAAGGCUUAAAUUUUUUUAAAAGACGAGAAGACCCUAUAGAGUUUAAUUUAUUUAUAUUUAUAUUUUUGUUGGAAUUUUUAAAAUUUAUUUUACAAUAAAUUUAGUUGGGGUGACUAAAAGAUUAAUUUAACUCUUUUAAUUUAAAUCAAUUGUAUUUGAAUAUUAAAUCUAUAUUUUUAAGUUUAAUAUAAAUUACCUUAGGGAUAACAGCGUAAUUUUUUUUAAAAGUUCAUAUUAAAAGAAAAGUUUGCGACCUCGAUGUUGGAUUAAAAUUUAUUUUAGGUGUAGAAGCUUAAAUAUUAAGUCUGUUCGACUUUUAAAAUUUUACAUGAUCUGAGUUUAAACCGGUGUGAGCCAGGUUGGUUUCUAUCUUUAAUUUAUUAAUAUAUUUUAGUACGAAAGGACCAAAUAUAUAAUAUAUUAUUUUAUUUUGAAUAUUAUU
rnacentral:rRNA from 1 species